rnacentral:rRNA from 1 species
GACAGGGGUCUCGAGCGUUAAUCGGAAUUACUGGGCGUAAAGGGCCAGUAGGCGGCCAACUAAGUCGGACGUGAAAUCCCCAGGCUCAACCUGGGAACUGCGUCCGAUACUGGAUGGCUUGAAUUCGGGAGAGGGAUGCAGAAUUCCAGGUGUAGCGGUGAAAUGCGUAGAUAUCUGGAGGAAUACCGGUGGCGAAGGCGGCAUCCUGGACCGACAUUGACGCUGAACGGCGAAAGCUAGGGGAGCAAACGGG